rnacentral:rRNA from 1 species
GACGAACGCCGGCGGCGGGCUUAACACAUGCAAGUCGAACGGAAAGGCCCUGCUUUUGUGGGGUGCUCGAGUGGCGAACGGGUGAGUAACACGUGAGUAACCUGCCCUUGACUUUGGGAUAACUUCAGGAAACUGGGGCUAAUACCGGAUAGGAGCUCCUGCUGCAUGGUGGGGGUUGGAAAGUUUCGGCGGUUGGGGAUGGACUCGCGGCUUAUCAGCUUGUUGGUGGGGUAGUGGCUUACCAAGGCUUUGACGGGUAGCCGGCCUGAGAGGGUGACCGGCCACAUUGGGACUGAGAUACGGCCCAGACUCCUACGGGAGGCAGCAGUGGGGAAUAUUGCACAAUGGGCGGAAGCCUGAUGCAGCAACGCCGCGUGCGGGAUGACGGCCUUCGGGUUGUAAACCGCUUUCGCCUGUGACGAAGCGUGAGUGACGGUAAUGGGUAAAGAAGCACCGGCUAACUACGUGCCAGCAGCCGCGGUGAUACGUAGGGUGCGAGCGUUGUCCGGAUUUAUUGGGCGUAAAGGGCUCGUAGGUGGUUGAUCGCGUCGGAAGUGUAAUCUUGGGGCUUAACCCUGAGCGUGCUUUCGAUACGGGUUGACUUGAGGAAGGUAGGGGAGAAUGGAAUUCCUGGUGGAGCGGUGGAAUGCGCAGAUAUCAGGAGGAACACCAGUGGCGAAGGCGGUUCUCUGGGCCUUUCCUGACGCUGAGGAGCGAAAGCGUGGGGAGCGAACAGGCUUAGAUACCCUGGUAGUCCACGCUGUAAACGGUGGGUACUAGGUGUGGGGUCCAUUCCACGGGUUCCGUGCCGUAGCUAACGCUUUAAGUACCCCGCCUGGGGAGUACGGCCGCAAGGCUAAAACUCAAAGGAAUUGACGGGGCCCCGCACAAGCGGCGGAGCAUGCGGAUUAAUUCGAUGCAACGCGUAGAACCUUACCUGGGUUUGACAUGGAUCGGGAGUGCUCAGAGAUGGGUGUGCCUCUUUUGGGGUCGGUUCACAGGUGGUGCAUGGCUGUCGUCAGCUCGUGUCGUGAGAUGUUGGGUUAAGUCCCGCAACGAGCGCAACCCUUGUUCACUGUUGCCAGCACGUUAUGGUGGGGACUCAGUGGAGACCGCCGGGGUCAACUCGGAGGAAGGUGGGGAUGACGUCAAGUCAUCAUGCCCCUUAUGGCCAGGGCUUCACGCAUGCUACAAUGGCUGGUACAGAGAGUGGCGAGCCUGUGAGGGUGAGCGAAUCUCGGAAAGCCGGUCUCAGUUCGGAUUGGGGUCUGCAACUCGACCUCAUGAAGUCGGAGUCGCUAGUAAUCGCAGAUCAGCAACGCUGCGGUGAAUACGUUCCCGGGGCU